CUUAUCCCUUGUUCUUUCUUAUUUUUCUUUCUAAUUCUCUGUUUUCUUCUCUUUCUUUUCUUUGUCUUGUUAUUCGUCUGUGAGAUACUUUUGAUAUAAGAAUGAGAAUUUUUUGAAGAUAAUAAGUGAUGGGGUUGUACAUAUGAUGAAGAAACUGAGGUUGUUGUCGAUUAAGCUCAAGCCUAAGAAGAAGAGGUGAGUUAGAGAAAGAAACUAGGGUUUCUGAGUAAUGUUUUAGUUGAGGAUUUAGGUUGAAAUUGAUUUGAGGGAAUUGUAAUUGGGGUUUCUGAAAUUGAUGAAGAAUUAGGAAUAGAUUCUGUUAAUAAGAAGAUGAUGAAGAUGUUAUUAGAGUUGAGAUGGUUGUAGAGUGGACAAGGCAAGGAUAUGGUCAACUAUUUUGUUCAAGGAACCUGAACUGAGGUAAAUAUUCUUUACUGAAUUUGAGUUAUAUGUUUUGGUUUCUGAAUUAGGGUUUGAUAGAAUUUGUUAUGAAGAUUGAGAUUUGGUUGUGUUGUUGGUGAAUUAAGAAAGAAGAUUUAGUUGCAGUAGGUGUUUGUCUGUGUUGUGUAUGAGAACAAGAACAUGUGGUGUUGUGAUAUUAUGUUGAUUUGCUGUUGUAGUUAAGUUAACUGGUGUAGGUAGAAUGAGAUUUAGGAAUGUGGGUGAUGUUGAUGUUGUUCAGUUGCGGUGGAGCUGUAAUGAAUGGAAGUAAUUGAUGAUAUUGUUGGUACUAUAGCUCAAGUAAGGAUUAUGGAGCUCAGUAUGUGAAUGAGGUUAUUGUGGUGGUUAUGAGGAUGGAGGUUUUGAAAUAUGAUGAACUGAAAGAGAAGCAGAAGUAGAGAAUAUAAUGUUGUUUGAUCUGUGAUAGGUGAAAGAAAAUGGUGUUGUUGUGUUGUUAGUUAACAAGGGAAAGAUGAGGUUCUGGUUGUAUGUGUGUUGAAUUAUAAUUGUGGAUGAUAUGCCUGGGGUGUGAGAUAUGAACUGCCUGAAGUGAUUAUAAUAUUGUUUGUUGAAGUUCAGAUUGAGUUACAGGCAGGCUUAGAAUGUAUAGUUGUGACAAUGGAGUUGGAAAUGGUUAAACUGGUUUGAGCCAGUUUGGUGGGUGUGUGGUUGUCAUUUAGAUAUUGUAAGUGGUGAUGUGUAAUUCAUGGAAACAGUCUGAGAUGUGUAGUAAGUAAUGAAGAUUGUAUGGGUAAUUGCAGGUCUGGAGUUGUUGAGUUUUGAUGUCUGUGUGGUAGUUAAGAGCUAGGUAAGUGUAAGGUCUUGGAGAGAGGAUAAUUGGUGCUAGUUGCUGUUAGUAAUUCCUGUGAAAGCUUGGAAGCUUGCAACUACUGCAAUUGCAGUUGGUCUUUAUUAACAACGAUCAAUUUAAAGGAUGAACCAGUGGAUCAUGGAUCUCGAGGUAGGCGAGGCUUGUCAUCAAAUUAGUUUCAGAGACAGAUCAAGAUGUGCACGUGACGAUGAAAGCUUCGAAGAAUUGGUUAUUUUAAUUAGUUAGCUUCUGCUAUGUUAUUUUGUGUUUGUAUUCUAUUUGUAAAUCAACUCAUUAUUGAAUAUGUAUCAUUUGAGAGAAGUUCUUGUGUAUA